rnacentral:piRNA from 1 species
ACACCCGUGACUCGUCCUGAGACUGC